rnacentral:lncRNA from 1 species
UGUAGGGGAGGAAAAAAGUCUUUUUCCCUUCUACCCUUCUAUGUUCUCCACGGUUAGGGCUUUGUAACAAAAGACAGAUCAAUGAGAGAAAAAUAAACAGAAGUUUAUUAGCAUGUGUAUCUCAUAUAUACGUGGGAGCAACUCAGGGAUGAGUAACUCAAAGGGGUGGCUAGAACUUGGGCUUAUAUAGCUGAUAAAAGAAAGAGAAAAGAACGAGGCCAGAGUCGACGUGAUGAUUACCAUGACCGCCUCAAGGCUGAACUAUGGGCAGAAAUAAAAACCUACAUUUUAACCUUCACUGUCACCAGAUGGCCGGAGAACAACUCGGUAGUAUUUCCCUGCAGUUAGAACAUUUAGAAAGCCCCGGACACAAGAUAAACUGUAGCUGAAAAGGGUGACCAAUCAGAACUGGACUCAGCCUUAACCUUGCGUACUCUGCACCUUUUACCUUUAAAACCUGGCCACCCCAAGACCGAGGCAGCACAGGUGUUAGCUCAGGGCUAAUCUUCCUCAGCAAAAAAUAAAAAAUAAAAGAUAAUUGUAUUUCCAACUUGGGGCAUGCCUUCCACAGUCUCCAGUGAUCAAGGCACCUGCGUCACUGAGCAAACCGUGCAAACUUUAAUGAAAAUCCCUUUAAACUUCUUGGACUUUUAAACUUCUUGGCUCCUAUCAUCCUCAAUCAUCAGGCAAAGUUAAGAAAGUUAAUGGAAAAACUGGAUUCAAGCAGAAGAAAUCUUAAAUUGCAUGGGGCUAUGUGAAUUGAGGAAGACGUUCUAAUGUUUUGCUUUUCCAGAUUUAAAGAAAUCUUUUCUCUUAAGCUAAAUAUGACUUAUAGCAAUUUGUAAGCAGAAUUGAAGCGUUGAUCUUUUUCUCCCUACCUGAUCCCUCCAGAAUUUGGAAACUCUUGAUAAGUGAGUGUUCUUAUUUUUCAUGGCAAUAUGAUUGUUUGCAUAAGUUCGAAUAGAAUCUGUUAUCCUGAUAGCAGCACACGGCUGGAAACACUGGUUAUAUUACCAAGGCUUUGACUGGAAUGUCAUGUUAAACAAACAAACAAGAAACCCCCAAAACAUGCAUAGACUCGGAUAUGACCAAACAGCUUUAAGGAACAAGGAUUGACUUUAUGGAACAAAUAAAGCCACUUGGAAAUAUUGGCCUGGUACCUUGCUUAUAGGGUUCCCAGCAACCUUACCAGGUGAGUAAAGAAGGUCACUUCCCUGGCAGGUGCAGGAACCUCAGGCUAUUUGGGGGACCUCGAAAAGAGAGGGCUUCACCCAAACGUGUAGGCAUUGCAGAACAACAGGAGGACUGCUGCUAAGAGAGCAACUUGCUGACAGCCUCCCUCACCUGACUAAGGAUUGCACAGCGGUGUCUGGACGCCACCCUGCCACUGGCAAGCCACAUGAUGCUGACUCAAGCCACCACCUACGUUCAGCCCAUGCUGCACUCUGAUGCCUCCUACACGGGACUGGAUGGGGCCCAAACAGCCGAGGGGGCACUUGGGCAUCAAGGGACCUGAAUACUCCCCAAAUUGAUCAAAGGUGUCGCCCUGGCAAACCUAUGAUUAAGAGGGGGAAAUGACAAAAGAAAGAGAUAAGAACGAGGCCAGAGUCAACGUGACCCCCUCAAGGCUGAACUAUGGGCAGAAAUAAAAGAUUACAUUUUAACCUCCACUGUCACCAGGACGGCCGGAGAACGAUGCGGUCGUUUUUCCCUGCAGUUAGAACACUUAGAAAGCCCCGGGCACAAGACAAACUGUAGCUGGAAAGGGUGGCCGAUCAGAGCGGGACUCAGCCCUAACGUUGCAUACUCUGCACAUUUUUGCCUUUCCAACCUGGCCACCCCGAGACCGGGGGGGGUGGGAGGCGGGGGGUGCUCACCUAUCAACUUGCGAGUUGAGGCAUACUUCCCUGGUUUGCAAACGUUUAAUAAAGCUUCUCUUUUCUUUAAAACUUAUCUUUGCCUCAUCAAGCUGCUCAUUUGGGUUAACCACAGCCUCUUAAAACAAAAGAAACAAAGAACAAAAAAACCCAGUAAGUUUCCAGACAAAUGACAAGACAAAGGGAAAGGACUUUGAGUUUCUGGGGUGGCAAACCGUGGAAAGGUAAAUAUGUGGGGAAUGAUGGAAGAUAAGGGCUAGUCACCAACGUUUGUUGUGCAGAGCCCUCUGGUGCCAGUCUCUGGGCUGAUAAGGGUCUAGAGUUGUCGGUGAUUAACUUCUGUACAAAUUUGUGUCCUGCUUUUAGGCAAAUAGGGGGAGGGCAGAGAGCUUUUCUCCUGUCUGCUUCAGCUCAAAGUAAUCCUUAUGCCAAUCCUUAUGGCAUGUUUUGGGGGGGGGGAGCGGGGGCGGAGGGGGCGGGCAAAUCCUGCUACCCUUCACAUCCCAUCCAGAGGAAGGGCUCGCUUACUUAAACUCUCCCCAAACCCCCAUAUAAUAAGCCAUUCCCGACACCCUCUUACUGAGAUGCCCCACGGUUCCCCGCGGCGUGUGUCCUCUCUCG